AUUGAACGCUGGCGGCAUGCCUUACACAUGCAAGUCGAACGGCAGCACGGGUGCUUGCACCUGGUGGCGAGUGGCGAACGGGUGAGUAAUACAUCGGAACAUGUCCUGUAGUGGGGGAUAGCCCGGCGAAAGCCGGAUUAAUACUGCAUACGAUCUACGGAUGAAAGCGGGGGACCUUCGGGCCUCGCGCUAUAGGGUUGGCCGAUGGCUGAUUAGCUAGUUGGUGGGGUAAAGGCCUACCAAGGCGACGAUCAGUAGCUGGUCUGAGAGGACGACCAGCCACACUGGGACUGAGACACGGCCCAGACUCCUACGGGAGGCAGCAGUGGGGAAUUUUGGACAAUGGGCGAAAGCCUGAUCCAGCAAUGCCGCGUGUGUGAAGAAGGCCUUCGGGUUGUAAAGCACUUUUGUCCGGGAAGAAAUCCUUGGCCCUAAUACGGUCGGGGGAUGACGGUACCGGAAGAAUAAGCACCGGCUAACUACGUG
rnacentral:rRNA from 1 species